GCGGGCGUGGUGGAAUGGUAGACACAGGAGACUUAAAAUCUCUAGGCCGAUAAGGCCGUGCCGGUUCGAGUCCGGCCGCCCGUACCA
rnacentral:tRNA from 1 species